rnacentral:rRNA from 1 species
UACACGACCGUACCGCAAACCGACACUGGUGCGCGAGAUGAGUAUUCUAAGGCGCUUGAGAGAACUCAGGAGAAGGAACUCGGCAAAUUGACACCGUAACUUCGGAAGAAGGUGUGCCUUUAGUAGGUGAAGUCCCUCGCGGAUGGAGCCCAAUGAGGUUGCAAAGAAUCGGUGGCUGCGACUGUUUAUUAAAAACACAGCACCCUGCAAACACGAAAGUGGACGUAUAGGGUGUGACGCCUGCCCGGUGCUGGAAGAUUAAAUGAUGGGGUGCAAGCUCUUGAUUGAAGUCCCAGUAAACGGCGGCCGUAACAAUAACGGUCCUAAGGUAGCGAAAUUCCUUGUCGGGUAAGUUCCGACCUGCACGAAUGGCGUAACGAUGGCCACACUGUCUCCUCCUGAGACUCAGCGAAGUUGAAAUGUUUGUGAUGAUGCAAUCUCCCCGCGGAAAGACGGAAAGACCCCAUGAACCUUUACUGUAGCUUUGUAUUGGAGUUUGAACAGAUCUGUGUAGGAUAGGUGGGAGGCUUUGAAGCAGGGUCGCUAGAUCCUGUGGAGCCAACGUUGAAAUACCACCCUGGUGUGUUUGAGGUUCUAACCUAGGCCCGUAAUCCGGGUUGGGGACAGUGCAUGGUAGGCAGUUUGACUGGGGCGGUCUCCUCCCAAAGUGUAACGGAGGAGUUCGAAGGUACGCUAGUUACGGUCGGACAUCGUGACGAUAGUGCAAUGGCAUAAGCGUGCUUAACUGCGAGACUGACAAGUCGAGCAGAUGCGAAAGCAGGACAUAGUGAUCCGGUGGUUCUGUAUGGAAGGGCCAUCGCUCAACGGAUAAAAGGUACUCUGGGGAUAACAGGCUGAUACCGCCCAAGAGUUCAUAUCGACGGCGGUGUUUGGCGCCUCGAUGUCGGCUCAUCUCAUCCUGGGGCUGUAGCCGGUCCCAAGGGUAUGGCUGUUCGCCAUUUAAAGAGGUACGUGAGCUGGGUUUAAAACGUCGUGAGACAGUUUGGUCCCUAUCUUCCGUGGGCGCUGCAGAUUUGAGGAAGCCUGCUCCUAGUACGAGAGGACCGGAGUGGACGCACCUCUGGUGUAUCGGUUGUCACGCCAGUGGCAUUGCCGAGUAGCUAUGUGCGGAAGAGAUAACCGCUGAAAGCAUCUAAGCGGGAAACUCGUUUCAAGAUGAGAUCUGCCGGGGCCUUGAGCCCCCUGAAGAGUCGUUCAAGACCAGGACGUUGAUAGGUCGGGUGUGGAAGCGCAGUAAUGCGUUAAGCUAACCGAUACUAAUUGCUCGUGCGGCUUGACCCA